UACGAAGGGGGCUAGCGUUGCUCGGAAUUACUGGGCGUAAAGGGCGCGUAGGCGGCCUUGUGAGUCAGGCGUGAAAUUCCCGGGCUUAACCUGGGGACUGCGCUUGAUACUGCGGGGCUUGAGGAUGGAAGAGGGUCGUGGAAUUCCCAGUGUAGAGGUGAAAUUCGUAGAUAUUGGGAAGAACACCGGUGGCGAAGGCGGCGACCUGGUCCAUUACUGACGCUGAGGCGCGACAGCGUGGGGAGCAAACAGG
rnacentral:rRNA from 1 species